GUUUAUUAUGGGAGUCACCUGACAGGGGCGCCAAAAAAGUGCGUCAUAGAAACGCAGCGCGGCGCCUUCACCCUGUGUGAAUUAAAUCGGAGCUGGCAAUGCCUGGAUUUGAUUUUCCAGCUAUUUUUAUUGUUUAAUCUGUGAAUGGCGCCUAAACAGGACCCUAAACCUAAAUUUCAAGAAGGUGAACGAGUGCUGUGCUUUCAUGGGCCAUUGCUAUACGAAGCUAAGUGUGUAAGAAUCAAUAUCAAGGACAAACAAGUGAAAUACUUUAUUCAUUACAGUGGAUGGAAUAAGAAGUAAGUCUUUGUAUUCAAGAUUCUGG